UGGGGAAUAUUGGGCAAUGGAGGCAACUCUGACCCAGCAACGCCGCGUGAGGGAAGAAGGUUUUCGAAUUGUAAACCUCUGUCCUAGGGGACGAAGAAAGUGACGGUACCCUAGGAGGAAGCCCCGGCUAACUACGUGCCAGCAGCCGCGGUAAUACGUAGGGGGCAAGCGUUGUCCGGAAUUACUGGGCGUAAAGGGUGCGUAGGGGGUAUGGUAAGUUAGAUGUGAAAUCCCCGGGCUUAACUCGGGAGUUGCAUUUAAAACUGUCAGACUAGAGUGCAGGAGAGGAAAGCGGAAUUCCUAGUGUAGCGGUGAAAUGCGUAGAUAUUAGGAGGAACACCAGUGGCGAAGGCGGCUUUCUGGACUGUAACUGACGCUGAGGCACGAAAGCGUGGGGAGCGAACA
rnacentral:rRNA from 1 species